AAGAAAUCCAAUUGUACCAGGGUCAACUGUAAGGUUCUGGUCUCAGCUCUGAUGUCCAACCCACCCUAUCUGAGAGAACUGGAUCUGAGUGGAAAUUACCUGCAUCUUUCAGAUGUUCAGCAGCUUUUGUAUCUUGUGGACAGUCCAGACUACAAACUAGAUACUGUGAGGUGGAAUCCCUCGUUUUGAAUCAGGACAUCACCUGUCAGUCUGGAUUAUUCCACAGGAAAAAGAAGAUAAAGGAUGAGGAAGGAAUCAGAGGAUCUGAUCAGCUGUUCUUUCAGCUACAACAUUAUGUUUUACACUAAUUCAUUCACAGUCACUCAUGAGGGAGAGAAAAAUGCAGUUUAAGUUAUUUUGUUGACUUGGUCGUUCUUCAUGUUCAACUGUUUAUUUCUCUGCAUUUUCCUGUGUGAUGUAGAACUGCUGAUUUUUUUUUAUUGCUGUGGUUCAAAUCCAGGUUAGGCCAUUGAGAGAAAAAAUACUAAAUCGUAGCUUCAGAUUCUCCCUUGGGGGGCGACACCUUCUUCUGGGAAAUUUCUUCAAUCCCUCUGAUGGUUACUGAAACUUUUAGAUGACGAGCCGCUUCUGCUUGCUGCUUGCUGCUUCUAUUGGGUUUUUAUGCCAUUUUUGAUUUCGUUUUUUAUCUUGUAUUACUGUAAAUGGUAAAUAGUAAAUUGCGUAUACUUAGACAGAACUUAAAUAUCUUAUACGGGCCUAGCUGUAUUUAUUGUUUCCUAACUGCAUUUAUUGGUGUUCAGGGUUGUCUAAUAACUAAAAGUAGUUCAUACUUAAAACUUUUACGUUCAGCUUAUGUAAAGGUAAUAAUAAUAUUGAUAUAUUGUAUAGGUCUGUUUCUUUUUACAGUUUUUGUUGUGUGAUAGAUCUGCUAUAUACAUAUUUAAAUUUUUACAUUUCAGUCCUCUUGCUACUAUGAUUAUCAACAUAAUUCCAUUUGUAGAACUUUACCAGAAUACUAGAUGUGUCACUUUUAAAUUAUUGUACAUAAGUUAUUUGUUAUGUUUGCAGGCAGCUGAGGAACAAUAUAAAAAUUAUUGCCACAUUUUAACAGCAAAAUGAUCAUCCUCAUGUUUUUUGAAGUUCACUUUGAUCACUGUUACAAUGUUUAUUGUUACAAUGUUUAAUUCCAGUUUGAUCAGGGGGAAUCGUGGGAAAUUAUCUUCUCUAGUCUCUCUAGAGCUUUACAUGAUUUUUAGGUCUGCAUCAAUCAGAGAGAUGGGAUGAUAGCUGGACGGCAGGGUGUGGUCUUUGUCUGGUUUUAAGAGAAAAAUAAUAUCAGCUGAGUUUAUAUUAGCUGGUAACAAAUUUUCUUUAAAAACACAACCAUUUUAUUAAAAACAAUGUCACCAGGAGGUCCCAGAAUUCUACAGGCUAGCCGUUCGGCCCCAGAGUUUUAUUGUUGGACAUCUGCAGCAGAGACUGAUGAAGUUCUUUCACUGAGAGAUGAGUCUAAAGCUGAGAUUUUUUCUUUCUUAAUAAUUUUGUCUAGAAAUGACUUAAUAUUCUCUUCUGGUGGGUCAGUUUGUGAUGAGUAUAGCUUCUUGCAGAAUUCUUUAUUUCUUCUGGAUCAUGACUAAUAUUUCAUGUUAUUUCCCUAAUCAAGGAGAUUGUGAUUUUUUUUUGUUUUUUAACUGAUUAAUUAAGAAUUUACCUGAUUUGUUUGCAUCCUCAAAUUUUGAAAUUAGUUUAUUAUUAAUAUUAUUUAUUCAAAUUUUAAUUUCAGGAUAUGUUUCUGUCGGGGAGCAGCAUAAGCAAUCAAGAGCUCAAACUUUGCAUUCUAAUGCAGACACAGUUGCUUUUCCCUUUUUAUUAAAUGAGAGAGAUUAUUUUACAAUAGUUUACAAGGUUUGUUUUAAACAAUGAAAAGCAUUUUUUAAAUGAAGCUACUGUGUGAAAAUCUUCUGCAGUCUGAUCACUGUGUUUUAAUUAUAUUUGAAGUUUCAGUCAUGCAUGUAUUUUCAUGGAAGUGGUAAAUUAAUGAAGGAGAAGUGUGCAGGAAUGAGCACUGACUCAUUAAUUUAAAAUGUUUCUUUCCAUAAACGUUGAGUUUGGGGCGUGUGCCAUCUUUCAAAAUAAAAGCUGUUCAAUAUAUCAAA